GUUGAACGCUGGCGGCAUGCCUUACACAUGCAAGUCGAACGGCAGCACGGGUGCUUGCACCUGGUGGCGAGUGGCGAACGGGUGAGUAAUACAUCGGAACGUACCUUUUCGUGGGGGAUAACGCAGCGAAAGCUGUGCUAAUACCGCAUACGCCCUGAGGGGGAAAGCGGGGGAUCGCAAGACCUCGCGCGAUUCGAGCGGCCGAUGCCUGAUUAGCUAGUUGGUGGGGUAAAAGCCCACCAAGGCGACGAUCAGUAGCUGGUCUGAGAGGACGAUCAGCCACACUGGGACUGAGACACGGCCCAGACUCCUACGGGAGGCAGCAGUGGGGAAUUUUGGACAAUGGGGGCAACCCUGAUCCAGCAAUGCCGCGUGAGUGAAGAAGGCCUUCGGGUUGUAAAGCUCUUUUGUCAGGGAAGAAACACCGGCUCUAACACAGUCCGGGAAUGACGGUACCUGAAGAAUAAGCACCGGCUAACUACGUGCCAGCCGCCGCUGUAA
rnacentral:rRNA from 1 species